rnacentral:snoRNA from 1 species
CCUGCCCCAUCUCGUGUUGCAGGCGUGGCUGCAGUGCCGCGUUUGUGUCAUUCGGUGGCAGACAGCAACAGGCGAUGUCUUCCCUGGUGCUCUGAGAUUCCCUGUGAGCUCCCAGGAUUGCUCGACAACCUGACAUU